rnacentral:rRNA from 1 species
UACAGAGGGUGCAAGCGUUGUCCGGAAUCACUGGGCGUAAAGGGCGCGUAGGCGGCCUGGUAAGUAGGGGGUGAAAGAUCAGGGCUUAACCCUGAACCCGCCUUCUAAACUGCCGAGCUCGAGCACAGUAGAGGCAGGCGGAAUUCCGGGUGUAGCGGUGGAAUGCGUAGAGAUCCGGAAGAACACCGGUGGCGAAGGCGGCCUGCUGGGCAGUGAGCUGACACUGAGGAGCGAAAGCGUGGGUAGCAAACAGG